AGAAUCAACGCUGGCGGCGUGCCUAACACAUGCAAGUCGAUCGAGAAAGUGGAGCAAUCCAUGAGUAAAGAGGCGCACGGGUGAGUAACACGUGACUAACCUACCCUCGAGUGGGGAAUAACCUGGGGAAACCCGGGCUAAUACCGCAUAAUACCCACGGGUCAAAGGAGCAAUUCGCUUGAGGAGGGGGUCGCGGCAGAUUAGUUAGUUGGCGGGGUAAUGGCCCACCAAGACGAUGAUCUGUAUCCGGCCUGAGAGGGCGCACGGACACACUGGAACUGAAACACGGUCCAGACUCCUACGGGAGGCAGCAGUGGGAAUUUUGCGCAAUGGGGGAAACCCUGACGCAGCAACGCCGCGUGGAGGAUGAAGUCACUUGGGACGUAAACUCCUUUCGACCGGACGAUAAUGACGGUACCGGAUGAAGAAGCCCGGCUAACUCGCGCCAGCAGCCCGC
rnacentral:rRNA from 1 species